CCCCCCCCCCCCCCUGCCUUUUUUUUGCUGGUUGGGGGUUUUUUGGGUUUUUUUUUUUUUUUUCUUGUUGUCCUUUUUUUUUUUCUUUCUUUCUCUUUUUGGUCCAAACCUGGUGAGAGGAAGUAAGGGUAGCGUGUUCUUAAAGCACUACCAGGAGCACUUCAUCUAACCGAACAAUGUUUAUGGUACUUUAUUUAGUCCCCGCCCGGCGCGCCCUUUGUAAACCUUAGUGAUCAGCUGGCCCAUCCGCCAGACCGUUUGAAAAAUACUACGGCUGUGGUGAAAACUUCAGGGAAGAAAGGUUUUUGCUCUCCAAAAUAGUUCUGUCCCUGAAACUGAAAUUCAUUUUCUUUGCAAUGUAGUACUCUAUUCCUGUAAACAUCCAUAAACUUCAUGGUUUUUUUUUUUUAUAAUUACUGAAACUUGCUAAACGCCUCUGUGAUUUGAAGUUCUUGGUUUCAUACUGUGUUGUUAUUCCUAUUUGAGUGACAGACUUUAUGAAUGUGGAUUACUGUUAAUUUGAAGUAAAUAAAAUGCUGUUUGUUUUAUAAAAUUUACUUCUUCCUGUCCCCAAUCAAUCGCUACAGCUUCAGUUUAUCCUAGAAAGCUAGAGGCAAGAAACAGGGAGAAAUAAAAGCCUAGUAUAAAAUAAAAUGUAACUUCGCCAUGGUUUUAAAAGUAAGGUAUUUUAACAUAUCUGCAGAUAAGUAAAUUUGUUUAAAUGCCAACAGAUACUGGUGUAGCCAGGAAAAGGGGGGUUAAUCUUGCCGGGUUGUUCAUUUCAUUAAAUACUCCAUUUCACCGUUUUGUGUUUUGUUUUUUACUUCAGGAAAAUUCAAGAAGGAUGGAGACAAACUAUAUGGCUCUUCCCCCAACAGUUCCUUCCUGCCUUUCUGCUUUCUCUUCCUCUCAAGUUAACAUCUACUGCCAUAAGGAUGCAAGAACCAGCCCUGUGUGUUUGGGACCUGGCACAAGGACAUUAUUUGGAGAUCCCUGCUUGUUUUAA
rnacentral:lncRNA from 1 species